AAUAUUCGAUCCGGAGCCAUCAAAUGAA
rnacentral:sRNA from 1 species